UUGAAUGCGAUACUUUAAAAUACUAGCAGAUGACAAAGCCUGGCGCUCCUGAAAAGAUCUGCUUGUGUAUUCAUUACUCCUAAAACACAAUUUAGAUUCUUCAAAUACUUAUAUCACAAAGUGCUUGUAAUUUAUUUGGAUAGUUAAUUCUUCUGAGACUAAGAGUAGUGGGGAUUAUUUCAGCAACAAAGAAUUUGUAAACAGAAUCUCAAUGCCAGUUCAAGUCUUUCAUUCUGAUUAAGCAAAACAGUGCAGGCAACGCAGCCUAAGCCAAAUUGUAAACUCAAAUUUCUCAUCUAUAUCUUGAGUAAAGGCAGCAAUUAAGAGCAAGAAGUGAUCCGUUUCAGUGAAAUACAACAGAUUUCCAUCGCAGUGUCUAAAUCCCUGGAAGAUGAAGAGGAUUCCAUUGGUCCAGUCACAAUUAUUCAUGUAAUAAUGAGAGCUUUCUAGAAAAUCUUCAGAGCUAGAUAAAUUCAACCAAUCUUCUCUGUAGCUAAUCAAAGAAACAAGAAGGUGGUGUGGCUGCUGCAACUUUCACUAUAUUGAAGAACCUUAAUAAUUGACUGAUCUGAGGAGCUUUUCUACAGAACUCUACAGUAAUUAUGGUCUGGAGUGCAGAGGCACAAAUAAAUGGUGAACAUGCUGUUUAAGCAUGGACCUUUGGCUGAAAUCUGGAAAACUAAAGACAGGAGAAUGCAUGAAUUCUCCUCCACCUCCAAAAACGCCUAUGUGCUUACCUGUUGCCAAGCCUGAAGGGUUUUAUGCAGAGAGUGGAUGGUAUGUUGGCCAAAGCUGAUGAAUACAGGAUCCACUACCAUACUUCCAUCCAAAAUCUUUUCCAUGGAAUUUCCAGAAACAGAAAGCUGCCCCAAUAUACCAAAUGGUUUUGCAACAGUUUGCUUAGUUAGAUUUCUACAUUCCAAAAGUUUACAGUCAAUUCUAG